rnacentral:tRNA from 1 species
ACCUAGCUGGCUCAGUCAGUGGAGCACAUGACUCUUGAUCUCAGAGUCAUGAGUUUGAGCCCCAUGUUGGGUA